AUCAGGUUCUUUAUUUCUCUUUUGAUUGAUUUAAGGUAUUCACAUAUAUAGUGGUUCCCAAUACCCAUAGAAUUAUUGUUUUUAAUUGGCUUCUUGGCUUCUUGCGUCCGUGGGUCAUCUAGCGCCGCCGACAUCGUUUUCUAUCAGGCUCACUUCCUAUCUUAUAUUGAUUGUUGUACUGCACUACCUCAGUUUUAAAGAUCAGCAUCCUAAAUUCCUAAUCGAACCAGAAAAGCACAGGGUAUAUUCCAGUCAUAAUGGAGAUGCUUGUGAUAAGUUUGGUACCUUCCUCUGCUACAUCUUUUGGUGUUAUGGGCCGUUCCUAGAUCUCUAUAUUUUGCAAGAGGCCAUGUUAUUUUGGUAUGCAAGAGCAGGCCUGACAGGUAUGUACAAGCUAUUUAAGAGGGCCAAGAAGGCGGAAUAACCUCGCUUAUACAGUUUCUGACUGCUAACAGUGCCAUCAUCAAUGAGCUUCACUCUAAAGUCUGUUCAUGAGAGGGUUGGGCUUCCUUCAAUGCUAGGGCUGAAAUUGGAGAAUAAACAAGGGGUUGACAUGCCUGUGAAGUUCUAUUAGGACAGCGUCUCCCCGCGUUCUCGAUCCGGCGCCGCCACAUAUUGUGAUUCUGGAUCGGGCGCAGGUCGUCGCAUAAGAGAGCCUGGCUGGUGUGGUCUUCAUGCUUGGUGUGGAGAAGCACGGGAGGAUGAGUAGGACGGGCAUGGGGAAGGAGCAGCCAGGCCGGAGCUCCGGCGUUGCUCGUGUCAUGGUCGAAUGGAGCCGGCCAUCACUAUGGGCUUCUGCUCGCCGGUCGUUGUUCCCCAAUCUCAGUUGCUCAUCUUUGGCUUCACCAUCUUCCUCCCCUGAUCAUGCAUCUAUUUUAGAUCAUAUAAUUAUGCUAUAUCAUAUAUGUUGUUUAGUUCUGACUUGUGCAUGUGCAUGCAUUGGCAUUGAUUUAGACAGAGAUAUUGCAUAUUUGUACAUAGAAGGAGUACGGAUGAUCUAGAAAUAAAUGUUUGAAUAAAGUUAGUAGUGAGAUUUAGGUAGAGGUUACCUGCACUGUUCUGUUUUAUGUAGAUUCUAAGCUGCAAAAUCAUACAUGGUCCUGUUAGUAAUUUGUUUGAGUUGUGA